AUACAGCAGAUCACUCAAGGCUUGCUGAGACAUGACUACGCAUUCAUACCAGUUGAGAAAAUAUCAUUAUCCUACGUUGAAAAUUAACUAGAAGAUACUGAUAAUUAUAUAGGUUUUAUGCAAUAUGGCAGUACAUAGAUCACUCGAUGCAUGCUGAGACAUGAAUUCACAUUUCUACCACUUCGGAAAGUAUCAAUAUCCUACAUGUAAAAUGGACUAGAAGAUACUGAAAAUAUUAAUGGUUUUAUACAAUAUGGCAAUACAGCAGAUCACUCAAGGCUUGCUGAGACAUGACUACGCAUUCAUACCAGUUGAGAAAAUAUCAUUAUCCUACGUUGAAAAUUAACUAGAAGAUACUGAUAAUUAUAUAGGUUUUAUGCAAUGUACGUGAAAUGGCUAUUGAAUGUAAUUGAUAGUAAAUUAAUAGUAGUGUAACAAUUGAAAUUUGUUAAAAAUCUGAAUAAAGGAUUGGGAAACACA